GAUGAACGCUGGCGGCGUGCCUAAUACAUGCAAGUCGAGCGAACAGACUAGGAGCUUGCUCCUCUGACGUUAGCGGCGGACGGGUGAGUAACACGUGGAUAACCUACCUAUAAGACUGGGAUAACUUCGGGAAACCGGAGCUAAUACCGGAUAAUAUAUUGAACCGCAUGGUUCAAUAGUGAAAGACGGUUUUGCUGUCACUUAUAGAUGGAUCCGCGCCGCAUUAGCUAGUUGGUAAGGUAACGGCUUACCAAGGCGACGAUGCGUAGCCGACCUGAGAGGGUGAUAGGCCACACUGGAACUGAGACACGGUCCAGACUCCUACGGGAGGCAGCAGUAGGGAAUCUUCCGCAAUGGGCGAAAGCCUGACGGAGCAACGCCGCGUGAGUGAUGAAGGUCUUCGGAUCGUAAAACUCUGUUAUUAGGGAAGAACAAAUGUGUAAGUAACUAUGCACGUCUUGACGGUACCUAAUCAGAAAGCCACGGCUAACUACGUG
rnacentral:rRNA from 1 species